rnacentral:rRNA from 1 species
CAAGUCGAACGGCAGCACGGGAGCUUGCUCCUGGUGGCGAGUGGCGAACGGGUGAGUAAAGCAUCGGAACGUACCUUGUCGAGGGGGAUAACGCAGCGAAAGUUGUGCUAAUACCGCAUACGUCCUGAGGGAGAAAGCGGGGGACCGCAAGGCCUCGCGCGAUGAGAGCGGCCGAUGUCAGAUUAGCUAGUUGGUGAGGUAAAGGCUCACCAAGGCGACGAUCUGUAGCGGGUCUGAGAGGAUGAUCCGCCACACUGGGACUGAGACACGGCCCAGACUCCUACGGGAGGCAGCAGUGGGGAAUUUUGGACAAUGGGGGAAACCCUGAUCCAGCCAUGCCGCGUGAGUGAAGAAGGCCUUCGGGUUGUAAAGCUCUUUCAGACGGAAAGAAAUCGGGCGCGUGAAUAGCGUGCCUGGAUGACGGUACUGUCAGAAGAAGCACCGGCUAACUACGUGCCAGCAGCCGCGG